AUACGGAGGGUGCAAGCGUUAUUCGGAAUCACUGGGCGUAAAGGACGCGUAGGCGGGUUGGCAAGUCAGAUGUGAAAUCCUACAGCUUAACUGUAGAACUGCAUUUGAAACUGCUAACAUAGAGUAUGGGAGGGGGAGAUGGAAUUAGUGGUGUAGGGGUAAAAUCCGUAGAUAUCACUAGGAAUACCGAAAGCGAAGGCGAUCUCCUGGAACAUAACUGACGCUAAGGCGUGAAAGCGUGGGGAGCAAACAGGAUUAGAAACCCUUGUAGUCC
rnacentral:rRNA from 1 species